UACGUAGGGUGCAAGCGUUAAUCGGAAUUACUGGGCGUAAAGCGUGCGCAGGCGGUUAUGCAAGACAGAUGUGAAAUCCCCGGGCUCAACCUGGGAACUGCAUUUGUGACUGCAUAGCUAGAGUACGGUAGAGGGGGAUGGAAUUCCGCGUGUAGCAGUGAAAUGCGUAGAUAUGCGGAGGAAUACCGAUGGCGAAGGCAGCCCCCUGGGAUAACACUGACGCUCAUGCACGAAAGCGUGGGGAGCAAACAGG
rnacentral:rRNA from 1 species